UGCCUCUCUAUGCUUCAAGCUCCUGUCUUGGGUUCCUGCCUUGGCUUCCCUCAACGAAGGACUGUAACUUUGUCACCUUGGCAAGAUUUGAACCAGCUUGCUGCCUGUGCCCUGGAAUACUUGCCACCUGACCCUACCUGCCCUUGGAGGUUGGAGGUGAGGUGGCCUGGCAUCAAUGACACAGACUUGGGGAGCAGCUCAGUGGGAGCUGGGGUACUAUUGCCUCAACAUUGCUGACCCCCACCUCGGAGCACUCCCAUACUGGACUGUGUUGUUCCUCCUACACCAGGAGACACAGUCAUUGCCACCUUCCUGAGAGAGCUGCAUUCUCCAUGGUGCCAGAGAGGUGGGGAGAGUAACCGCCAAACAGACACUCCUGGGUUUCAAUCCCAGAAGUGUGGCUGGGAAUCCGGAGAUCUUCAAGAAGUUAUUUAACUUUUUUAAACCUUAAAUUGUGUAUGUGCAUGACAGUGCAGUGCCCACAGGGGCCAGACGAGGGCGUCAGAUGCCCUUGAACUGGAAUCACAGAUGUUUGUUAGCUGCUCAGCAUGAGUGCUGGAAACCAAAUUCUGGUCCCGUGCAAGAGUA
ensembl:lincRNA Gm42953 predicted gene 42953